ensembl:snoRNA small nucleolar RNA SNORD10
UGUAUAGUGAUGAAACUCAUGCGUGUCAACUGACUCUGGUUUCCCCUGGUGUUCUGUUGCUCCAGUUGGCGUUUUGCUAGCUGGUGUCCUCGGGACAUUAGGGAUCCAGAGGCAUGAUCAUACAUUGUUUCUGAAUACA